AGUGGAUUCCCCAUCAGAAAGAGCCACUGCUCCAGCAGGAAAAGAAGGUCUGCAGGAAAUGCAGAUGGAGAGACCCGCUACCAGCGGGACUGCGUUUGUCAAUAGGUACUCUAAGUGCCAUGGAAGCCUGAGUUGCUGGGAGCACCCUCCAGCCAGGUGGAGAAUGGACUCAUCUGAGAAUUAAACCAAGACUGUGGAGAUGGAAGAAGAUCCCAAUGGAUUCUUCAUGUGAACCCAUGGAUUCGAUUAGGCUUGAGGGCAGUUAGCUUCUGGACUUCCCAAGUAUGCGAGUUAAUGAUUUCCACUUCCUCCUCCUCCUCCUCCCAUCUUAAGCUAUUUUGAGUUGGUUUUCUAACAUCUGCAACUGGAAGUGGCUUGACUAUCACUGUAAUUCCUACUAAUCCAGGCAUCUGCAGGUUUGUGCCUAUGUUCAGAGAGUCCAUUAUUACACACGGAGCUCAUUAUUACA